rnacentral:rRNA from 1 species
GAAGGUGUGCUGUGAGGCAUGCUGGAGGUAUCAGAAGUGCGAAUGCUGACAUAAGUAACGAUAAAGCGGGUGAAAAGCCCGCUCGCCGGAAGACCAAGGGUUCCUGUCCAACGUUAAUCGGGGCAGGGUGAGUCGACCCCUAAGGCGAGGCCGAAAGGCGUAGUCGAUGGGAAACAGGUUAAUAUUCCUGUACUUGGUGUUACUGCGAAGGGGGGACGGAGAAGGCUAUGUUGGCCGGGCGACGGUUGUCCCGGUUUAAGCGUGUAGGCUGGUUUUCCAGGCAAAUCCGGAAAAUCAAGGCUGAGGCGUGAUGACGAGGCACUACGGUGCUGAAGCAACAAAUGCCCUGCUUCCAGGAAAAGCCUCUAAGCAUCAGGUAACAUCAAAUCGUACCCCAAACCGACACAGGUGGUCAGGUAGAGAAUACCAAGGCGCUUGAGAGAACUCGGGUGAAGGAACUAGGCAAAAUGGUGCCGUAACUUCGGGAGAAGGCACGCUGAUAUGUAGGUGAAGUCCCUCGCGGAUGGAGCUGAAAUCAGUCGAAGAUACCAGCUGGCUGCAACUGUUUAUUAAAAACACAGCACUGUGCAAACACGAAAGUGGACGUAUACGGUGUGACGCCUGCCCGGUGCCGGAAGGUUAAUUGAUGGGGUUAGCGCAAGCGAAGCUCUUGAUCGAAGCCCCGGUAAACGGCGGCCGUAACUAUAACGGUCCUAAGGUAGCGAAAUUCCUUGUCGGGUAAGUUCCGACCUGCACGAAUGGCGUAAUGAUGGCCAGGCUGUCUCCACCCGAGACUCAGUGAAAUUGAACUCGCUGUGAAGAUGCAGUGUACCCGCGGCAAGACGGAAAGACCCCGUGAACCUUUACUAUAGCUUGACACUGAACAUUGAGCCUUGAUGUGUAGGAUAGGUGGGAGGCUUUGAAGUGUGGACGCCAGUCUGCAUGGAGCCGACCUUGAAAUACCACCCUUUAAUGUUUGAUGUUCUAACGUUGACCCGUAAUCCGGGUUGCGGACAGUGUCUGGUGGGUAGUUUGACUGGGGCGGUCUCCUCCUAAAGAGUAACGGAGGAGCACGAAGGUUGGCUAAUCCUGGUCGGACAUCAGGAGGUUAGUGCAAUGGCAUAAGCCAGCUUGACUGCGAGCGUGACGGCGCGAGCAGGUGCGAAAGCAGGUCAUAGUGAUCCGGUGGUUCUGAAUGGAAGGGCCAUCGCUCAACGGAUAAAAGGUACUCCGGGGAUAACAGGCUGAUACCGCCCAAGAGUUCAUAUCGACGGCGGUGUUUGGCACCUCGAUGUCGGCUCAUCACAUCCUGGGGCUGAAGUAGGUCCCAAGGGUAUGGCUGUUCGCCAUUUAAAGUGGUACGCGAGCUGGGUUUAGAACGUCGUGAGACAGUUCGGUCCCUAUCUGCCGUGGGCGCUGGAGAACUGAGGGGGGCUGCUCCUAGUACGAGAGGACCGGAGUGGACGCAUCACUGGUGUUCGGGUUGUCAUGCCAAUGGCACUGCCCGGUAGCUAAAUGCGGAAGAGAUAAGUGCUGAAAGCAUCUAAGCACGAAACUUGCCCCGAGAUGAGUUCUCCCUGACUCCUUGAGAGUCCUGAAGGAACGUUGAAGACGACGACGUUGAUAGGCCGGGUGUGUAAGCGCAGCGAUGCGUUGAGCUAACCGGUACUAAUGAACCGUGAGGCUUAACCUUACAACGCCGAAGCUGUU